AUGACCGAAAAGUGUUUCGGAGGUCCCGACAAGUGUUGCAGGGCCUCAUGGGCCAAAGGGGAAGGGGAAAACCAGCCCACUAAGGGGUGGUGCGCCCCCCACACCCUUUCCCACGUUAGUUGGGGAGGUCCAUAUGGGACAAUUACUACGUCUGUGCCGAGACCAAAACGCUGGCUACCUCCGGUCCAAGGAUGUGCCAAAGUUAAUGUGGAUGCAGCGCUGUCGAGAGGAGGUACGUAUGGUGCGGUUGCAGCUAUGUGUAGGGACCAACAUGGCCUGUUUCUUGGAGCCUCGGUCAUUGGUUUCCGGCAAAUCAAUGAUCCUCAAACACUAGAAUCCCUAGCCAUCAGGGAAGCACUAGCUUUGGCGAAAGACUUAUACGUUCAAAGUAUUCAUGUGGGCUCUGAUUGCAAAACGGUGGUAGAAGAUAUACAGAGCGGUACUUCAGCUUCAUAUGGUGUGGUGAUACAUGAAAUCAUAGAACAUUCUGCUAGUUUUCAUCUUUGUAAAAUAGUUCAUGAAUUUAGGAGCUCAAACUUUGAGGCUCACAACUUAGCGAAGCAUGCUUUAUCUCUCGGGGGUGGCCGCCAUGUAUGGUUAGGUCAUCCUGGAGAUCUUUCUUUCAUCCCUGUAAACAUUGUGACGGAUUAA
rnacentral:rRNA from 1 species